AUUGAACGCUGGCGGCAGGCCUAACACAUGCAAGUCGAGCGGAUGAAGGGAGCUUGCUCCUGGAUUCAGCGGCGGACGGGUGAGUAAUGCCUAGGAAUCUGCCGGGUAGUGGGGGAUAACGUCCGGAAACGGGCGCUAAUACCGCAUACGUCCUGAGGGAGAAAGUGGGGGAUCUUCGGACCUCACGCUAUCAGAUGAGCCUAGGUCGGAUUAGCUAGUUGGUGGGGUAAAUGCCUACCAAGGCGACGAUCCGUAACUGGUCUGAGAGGAUGAUCAGUCACACUGGAACUGAGACACGGUCCAGACUCCUACGGGAGGCAGCAGUGGGGAAUAUUGGACAAUGGGCGAAAGCAUGAUCCAGCCAUGCCGCGUGUGUGAAGAAGGUCUUCGGAUUGUAAAGCACUUUAAGUUGGGAGGAAGGGCAGUAAGUUAAUACCUUGCUGUUUUGACGUUACCAACAGAAUAAGCACCGGCUAACUUCGUG
rnacentral:rRNA from 1 species